AUGAAUGCCGUCAUGAAAGUUUCUUCUCCUCUUCCUUCACUCAAACUCAGAAGGCGCUACCACCACAAACUUCUUCUCCGUUUUCUUUGUCGAGCUUCAACCUCGAGGUCUGUCGUGACCUCUUCCUUCUCGUCAUUACAGAUUCUAUCAAACAGAAAACCAGAAAGUUACUCAGAGUUGAAGAUUGUGGAAAGCAAACGAGGUUGCAUUGAUGCUCUAGCGACUUCUAUUUUCUUGCAGUGA